rnacentral:rRNA from 1 species
GACGAACGCGGGCGGCGUGCCUAAUACAUGCAAGUGGGACGCAAGGGAACACACUGUGCUUGCACACCGUGUUUUCUUGAGUCGCGAACGGGUGAGUAACGCGUAGGUAACCUGCCUAUUAGCGGGGGAUAACUAUUGGAAACGAUAGCUAAUACCGCAUAAUAUUAAUUAUUGCAUGAUAAUUGAUUGAAAGAUGCAAGCGCAUCACUAGUAGAUGGACCUGCGUUGUAUUAGCUAGUUGGUAAGGUAAGAGCUUACCAAGGCGACGAUACAUAGCCGACCUGAGAGGGUGAUCGGCCACACUGGGACUGAGACACGGCCCAGACUCCUACGGGAGGCAGCAGUAGGGAAUCUUCGGCAAUGGACGAAAGUCUGACCGAGCAACGCCGCGUGAGUGAAGAAGGUUUUCGGAUCGUAAAGCUCUGUUGUAAGUCAAGAACGUGUGUGAGAGUGGAAAGUUCACACAGUGACGGAGCUACCA